GGCCGUCCUCGAGCUCAGGGCCUGGACUCUCCUCAGACCAGGAGCCGAACAUGGGGGAGGACUCUAGGUGUGCGGGGGGAGGGGGGGAGGAGGGACCUGCUAUUCGAGGCUGUAUCGUCCAGGGAGGUUCUGGAGGUUCCUGUGGCCUUUAGAGCGGGCGGGGCCCUCGGGGACGAGCGGGGGCCAGUGGCUCCUGGUCCCUGGGUUGGCCUGGGGCGCUUUUACAUUGCCAGCCCUGGAGGAUGGGGGGGGGGGCGUCACCGCCGAGACCCCUUAAUGAAUGAAUGGCAGCGGCCCGUGGGGUUUUCUCCUGAGCGGGUUGGGGGCUUGGGCUCUCCUCUCACGGGGCUGCCCUCGGUCUGGGUACCAGCCCACCACCGGCUGCCUGCGAGGGAUGGCUCUCGGCCCGGCACCAGACUGAGGGAACUAGCCGUGGUGUCGUGCGCCCUCUCCCGGCCGCGGAGGGGAUAGCCCCCGGCCAGCUCUGCCCCCUCCCCCUUCGUCCCCCAAUCGUUGCCCAGAGCCCGAACGCUGGCCCCGAAAUGCUCAGAAUUAGAAAGACUCGGGUCCGAUUCUGCCCGGGACACUCCGCCUUCCUGAGCUUCUUUCUGCAUUAAUAAAACCCGGGUCAGAUGGUGGAGAAAGGUUUACACGGGGAUUGUUGGGGCUCAACGAGCCCUCCUGGGAAGUCGCUGUCCACACUGGAAAGCACCGUCCCCAUUUCCGUCGUUAUUAUCAUCACCCUCGGUGCUUCCCCGGCUGCCGGUCCUUCUGGACUUGAGGUGGGAUCUGGAAACAUAAGAGUGCUCUCCCCCAGCCCGUUCUCCUGGGCUGUGCCCCUGGCCGAGCACUCUCUGAAGCCCAUUUUUCUCAUCACUCUGUCCUGCCUUUCUCACAGCAGCCAGUGAGAGUGGCGGCCUCAGGGAGAAGCCCAGAGAGGCCUUCGUCCGCCCGGAGAGGCCUUUGUCCACCGGCCCCUCCAGGGCUGGCGUGGGGGAGACCUCAGCUGCCUCCCCUCCGAGGCAUGGGCCCCAAACCUCGUAGUUUCCUUGCUAACUCAUUAAUGGGGCCGUCACCCGUGGAGUUAUCUAAAACUUUUGUGGAACUUUCUAUUUCUGGCCUGGACACGUCUUAAAAUAAGGAGUUCCAUGGGUACCCUCCCCCACGUGGGAAGUAGAGCUGCCUUUCAUAUGCCCUAAACUUACCUCUUUCUAGCCCCCGGCAGUGCUGAUCCAGGUUUCUGUGAGUGACUCUAUGUGGCCCACUUCAGCCGGACCUUCCCAUGACCCGGAACUGGUUCGUUCCCUGGGAAAUCCAGCCCCCGCCGCCAUCACCCCAGCCCCCGCGCCCUCCCCUUCUAAAAAAUCACAAAACAACAGUAUGUCAGACUCGGGGGACCACCCCAAACCCAUUGGAUGACGAGCCUCGGGACUCCCAAAAAGGCCAGAGCCCUGAGCGAAACCUGAGCAGAAGAAAUCCAAUAGGGGCGAGUGCCAAAUGACAUCCCAGAGGACCACGGCCUGGGGGAUCCUGGGAUGGAGUUGGACUGCAGUGAGGGAGGCAGCCUCCUUGCUCCUGCAGAGCUCCCUGGGUCCAGUGGUCAGAGAGAUCCGGACAGGAGAUGCCUCCAGAUGUCACAUCAGCAUCCCGUUGGAGCAGAUAUAACCCCCCAGGUCAAUGGCAGCCCCUCCACACACUCAUAGACAAUCAUUGUGAGUUGCUGAGACCAAAGGAAAAACAUCCUCUGGCAGGCAGGAAGAAUGGGAGGAAAAACAGAGAGAAUACACUUUUCUCUGCAUUCAAAGUCCCUUGGCUCGAUUAUCUGGUGGUGAGUCCCGGGUUUCAUCUGGUUGGUGAGUUGAUUCGUGUCCGUAAAGUCUUUUAAAGUUGAUUACGUUCAUAACAUUGUUACCGCGUCACCCUUCUCCUCGUUCCGUUCGUGUAAGUCUUCCCAGGUUUUUCUGAACCCAUCCCUCUCAUCGUUUUGUUUUUGAAAUGUUUUUAAACCUUUUAUUUCUUUAUUUUUAGGUUUUACAUGUACAUUCAUUUAAAAAAAAAAACAUUUCCAUACGAGUCGUGUUGUGAAAGAAAAAGCAAAAAAAAAAAAAAAAAAAAAAAAAAGCUAAAUAAAUAAAUAGAAAAAAGAAAAAGCAGAAGAAACGGAAAGAAACCAAACCAGGUGAUCCCCAUCCAGUCUCCGGAGCUCCCUCCCUGGAUGCGGAUGCCAUUUUCCAUUCCAAGUCUGUUGGAAUUGUCUUGGAUCGCCGAGAAGAGCCAAGUCUUUCCUAGUUGCUCAUCUCCGUGUUGCCGUUGCCGUGCACAAUGUUCUCCUGGUUCCGCUCCCUUCCCUCAGCAUCACUUCUAAGUCUUUCCAGGCUUUUUUGAAAUCAGCCUGCUCAUCAUUUGUACAGAACAACAGUAUUUCAUCGCACUCACGGACCACAACUUGGUCAGCCAUCGCUCAGUUCUCGGGCAUCCCCUCUGUUCCUUGCCACCGCAAACAUUCUUGCCCGUGUGAGUCCUUUCCCUCUUUGGGAUACGAGUAGAGACACUGCUGGAUCGAAGGAUAUACACUUUGCUCAUUCCCAACUCCACCAACAAUGCAUUAGUGUCCCCGUUUUCCCAUAUUCCCCCCCCCACUCCCCUCAUUUCUUACAUCACAGUAGUACCUUCCACAACCUGUUCAGCCAUUCCCCAAUUGAUUGGGAUCCCCUCAGUUUUUAAUUCUUUGCCACCACAACUUAUUAUCAUUUUUUUGCUAUAUUCUUAUACCAAGCAAACAGGUCCAGUUUCAUAGAGUCCAAAUGGCUUUGCAGAAUGGGAUGCACUUGGCAAGAACACAAAGCAUUUAGCAUUUUUUUAAUACAGCAUUUGCCAUUUUCCUUUUUUUUUUUUUUGAUAACUUAGUCAAACUGAUUAUUAUGAGGUAAUAGCCUCCGAGCCGUUUUCAUUUCUAAUUUGCAUGUCUCUGAUUAGUGAUCUGGAGCAUUAUUUUAAGUGGUUGUUAAUAACUUGCAUUUCUUUUUCUGAAA